UACAGAGGGUGCGAGCGUUAAUCGGAAUUACUGGGCGUAAAGCGCACGUAGGUGGCGACGUAAGUCGAUUGUGAAAGCCCUGGGCUUAACCUGGGAAUUGCAGUCGAUACUACUCAGCUAGAGUAUGGGAGAGGGUAGUGGAAUUCCCGGUGUAGCGGUGAAAUGCGUAGAUAUCGGGAGGAACAUCAGUGGCGAAGGCGGCUACCUGGCCCAAUACUGACACUCAGGUGCGACAGCGUGGGGAGCAAACAGG
rnacentral:rRNA from 1 species